rnacentral:rRNA from 1 species
GUGGGGAAUAUUGGACAAUGGGCGCAAGCCUGAUCCAGCCAUGCCGCGUGAGUGAUGAAGGCCCUAGGGUUGUAAAGCUCUUUCACCGAUGAAGAUAAUGACGGUAGUCGGAGAAGAAGCCCCGGCUAACUUCGUGCCAGCAGCCGCGGUAAUACGAAGGGGGCUAGCGUUGUUCGGAAUUACUGGGCGUAAAGCGCACGUAGGCGGAUAUUUAAGUCAGGGGUGAAAUCCCAGAGCUCAACUCUGGAACUGCCUUUGAUACUGGGUAUCUCGAGUAUGGAAGAGGUGAGUGGAAUUCCGAGUGUAGAGGUGAAAUUCGUAGAUAUUCGGAGGAACACCAGUGGCGAAGGCGGCUCACUGGUCCAUUACUGACGCUGAGGUGCGAAAGCGUGGGGAGCAAACAGGAUUAGAAACCCCAGUAGUCC